CCUACGGGAGGCAGCAGUGGGGAAUAUUGGUCAAUGGGCGCAAGCCUGAACCAGCCACGCCGCGUGAGUGAUGAAGGCCUUCGGGUUGUAAAGCUCUGUGGGGAGGGAAGAAAACGGCCAGUAAGAAACGACUGGUCCUUGACGGUACCUCCUUAGCAAGCACCGGCUAACUCUGUGCCAGCAGCCGCGGUAAUACAGAGGGUGCGAACGUUGCUCGGAAUUACUGGGCGUAAAGCGCGUGUAGGCGGGACCGUAAGUCAGAUGUGAAAUCCCCGAGCUCAACUCGGGAACUGCAUCUGAAACUGCGGACCUCGAGUACUGGAGAGGGCGGCGGAAUUCCUGGUGUAGAGGUGAAAUUCGUAGAUAUCAGGAGGAACACCGGUGGCGAAGGCGGCCGCCUGGACAGUCACUGACGCUGAGACGCGAAAGCGUGGGGAGCA
rnacentral:rRNA from 1 species